ACGAACGCUGGCGGUGCGCCUUAUGCAUGCAAGUCGAGCGAAGCUUUUCAGUAGUUUACUACAGAAAAUGACUGAGCGGCGAACGGGUGAGUAACGCGUGAGCAAUCUACCUUAGUUACAGGGAUAGCCCGAGGAAACUCGGAUUAAUACCUGAUAUUCUUUAUUUCUCGCAUGAGAAUAAAAGGAAAGGUCAGCCGAACUAAGAUGAGCUCGCGGCCUAUCAGCUAGUUGGUGAGGUAAUGGCUCACCAAGGCAUCGACGGGUAGCUGGUCUGAGAGGACGAUCAGCCACACUGGGACUGAGACACGGCCCAGACUCCUACGGGAGGCAGCAGUGGGGAAUAUUGCGCAAUGGGCGAAAGCCUGACGCAGCAACGCCGCGUGUGGGAUGACAGCUUUCGGUUUGUAAACCACUUUCAGGAGGGAAGAAAAUGACGGUACCUCCACAAGAAGCCCCGGCCAACUACGUGCCAGCAGCCGCGGUAAUACGUAGGGGGCGAGCGUUGUCCGGAUUUAUUGGGCGUAAAGAGCUCGUAGGCGGUUCAACAAGUCGGUCGUAAAAGUUCAGGGCUCAACCCUGAAAUGUCGAUCGAUACUGUUGUGACUAGGAUAUGGUAGAGGUGAGUGGAAUUCCGAGUGUAGCGGUGAAAUGCGUAGAUAUUCGGAGGAACACCAAUAGCGAAGGCAGCUCACUGGGCCACUAUCGACGCUGAGGAGCGAAAGCUAGGGGAGCAAACAGGAUUAGAUACCCUGGUAGUCCUAGCUGUAAACGAUGAGCACUAGAUUUUGCGGGUAUUGACCCCUGCAGAGUCGCAGCUAACGCAUUAAGUGCUCCGCCUGGGGAGUACGGUCGCAAGACUAAAACUCAAAGGAAUUGACGGGGGCCCGCACAAGCGGUGGAUUAUGUGGUUUAAUUCGAAGCAACGCGCAGAACCUUACCUGGGCUUGAAAUCCUGAGAAUCUUUUUUAAACUAGGGAGUGCCCUUCGGGGAAUUCAGUGACAGGCGCUGCAUGGCUGUCGUCAGCUCGUGUCGUGAGAUGUUGGGUUAAGUCUCGCAACGAGCGCAACCCCUAUCCUUAGUUGCCAGCAUUAAGUUGGGCACUCUAGGGAGACUGCCCGGGCUAACCGGGAGGAAGGUGGGGAUGACGUCAAGUCCUCAUGGCCCUUAUGCCUAGGGCUACACACGUAAUACAAUGGUUGAUACAGAGGGACGCGAACUCGCGAGGGGGAGCAAAUCUCAAAAAGUCAAUCUCAGUCCGGAUUGGAGUCUGCAACUCGACUCCAUGAAGUUGGAAUCGCUAGUAAUCGUGGAUCAGCACGCCACGGUGAAUACGUUCCCGGGCCUUGUACACACCGCCCGUCACG
rnacentral:rRNA from 1 species